AAGAAAUGCCACAAUUGAGUGGGUCUCUAAAAACACUGCAAAGUACUUUCUCAGUAGCAAAAUUUGCCACAAAGGACCACAAAAGAGUAUCAUAAGAGCACAAUGGACAUAACAUAUUCUUCUUUGUAUAGUAAUUUUAACAUUUCUGAAGAAAAAAGUCAAACAUUUAUUUUAUUUUAACAUUUAAAUUGCUAUUAUCUAGUGUAAUCAGCUGCAGCAUACUCAGGCCCUGCAUGUAUUAAACAAGUAUAAUUUUGAAAAUUUGUUUUUUCAGAAAUAUCAAUAAGUACACUUUGUUUAUCAAAUGUUAUCAUGGAGAAAAAUAUAGUAUGUGGUGAUAUAUAUUCAUCCUUUAAAAAUUGUUUGCUAUGAGGACCAUUAAUAUGCAUGUUUAAAAAUGACUUGCAGAGCAUAUCAGAUAAAAAUCUUUGUAUUACGAAGUAAGGUUCGGGUAUAUAUAACACCUACAGUUUGAAAAUCCUUAUGUUGAUAUACACUUUAUUUGAUAAAACAAAUAUCUUAUUCUGAUAAAAGAAAAGAGGUUUCUACAGAAAAUAUUUUACUUUUCAAAUUUCACUAUUCAAUACUGUCAAUUAAUUGUGUGGAUGGUUUAAAAUGACUACCAAUUAAUUACAAUUUGAAAUGGAAAUUGGACUUGGACUUGACAAGUAUAUGUUUGACUAUAUCUGUUGUUGGGUUGCUGUCAUUUGAAAGUAUAACCUACAUUUAUUCCUAUAUAUCAUUCAAGGACACAUUAAAAUUUAACACUUCUCAGUAGUAUUGAGGCCAAAAAUUCACACCUUUUGCCAAAUACAGCUAAGGUAAUCUAUUCUGUGGGUGGAAAAUCUAAGGUAAUCUAUUCUGUGGGUGGAAAAUCUAUGGUAAUCUAUUCUGUGGGUGGAAAAUCUAUGGUAAUCUAUUCUGUGGGUGGAAAAUCUAUGGUAAUCUAUUCUGUGGGUGGAAAAUCUAAGGUAAUCUAUUCUGUGGGUGGAAGAUCCUAAAUACAGCUAAGGUAAUUUAUUCUGUGGGUGGAAAAUCCUAAAUACAGCUAAGGUAAUCUAUUCUGUGGGUGGAAAAUCCUAAAUACAGCUAAGGUAAUCUAUUCUGUGGGUGGAAAAUCCUAAAUACAGCUAAGGUAAUCUAUUCUGUGGGUGGAAAAUCCUAAAUACAGCUAAGGUAAUCUAUUCUGUGGGUGGAAAAUCCUAAAUACAGCUAAGGUAAUCUAUUCUGUGGGUGGAAAAUCCUAAAUACAGCUAAGGUAAUCUAUUCUGUGGGUGGAAAAUCCUAAAUAUAUUAAUCUAUUCUGUGGGUGGAAAAUCCUAAAUACAGCUAAGGUAAUCUAUUCUGUGGGUGGAAAAUCCUAAAUACAGCUAAGGUAAUCUAUUCUGUGGGUGGAAAAUCCUAAAUACAGCUAAGGUAAUCUAUUCUGUGGGUGGAAAAUCCUAAAUACAGCUAAGGUAAUCUAUUCUGUGGGUGAAAAUCCGUAGUAUUUCAAACUAUUCAAAGUUUUGUAAACAGUCAAUUUAUAAAUAUGACCAAAUAAAUGAUAGUUCAUAUGUUCAGUGUACUAGUUUUUUGUUUGUUUGGUUGGUUUGGGGGGGAGGGUAUUUUACCUUAGCUUUUGUUUUAUAUUAUUCAAUAUAUAUAAAUAUAUAUAUACAUAAUAAGAAAUCUUUGAUUAUGGAUUGUCUUGAAUGUACCGUAAUGGCAUGCUUAUCUGUACUGAUUUUGGAACACGGAUUUGUAAAUCUUAAAUUUUCUGUUAUUGAUUUACAGACAAAAUUUGAUAUAAAUUAAUAUUUUUUAUUUGGCUUGAACAUGUUGAAAGGACAUUUAAUUUUCACUAUAAAGUAUUUCAAUUUAGGUCCUGUGUGCACUUAUGAUACUCCUUUGCAGUCCUUUGUGGGAAAUUGUGCACGAUUUAUAUAUAUAUAUAUAUAUAAUGCACAAAAGAGGUCCUUUGCUGUGUUUUUAAGAGACCACAGUUUCUAGAUAAUCCUUUCUUUAAUUAACAAUAGCAUUAUUUUUCAAAAUUUUUUUUGUACUUUUCUUACAUUUAUAUAUAUAUAUAUAUAUAUAUAUAUAGGUCUAUAAAAAGG